rnacentral:misc_RNA from 1 species
CUGAAUGGCCUCUGGGCCUUCAACCUUGCAAACCUGUGGAAGCUAACACGUGCUUCGGCGCUUCGGCGUCGCUUUUAUGCUACAAUAAGUCUCUGUGUCUGAAUCAAAUACAAGAAAUA